UAGGGAAUCUUCCGCAAUGGGCGAAAGCCUGACGGAGCAACGCCGCGUGAGUGAUGAAGGUCCUCGGAUCGUAAAACUCUGUUAUUAGGGAAGAACAAAUGUGUAAGUAACUAUGCACGUCUUGACGGUACCUAAUCCGAAAGCCACGGCUAACUACGUGCCAGCAGCCGCGGUAAUACGUAGGUGGCAAGCGUUAUCCGGAAUUAUUGGGCGUAAAGCGCGCGUAGGCGGUUUGUUAAGUCUGAUGUGAAAGCCCACGGCUCAACCGUGGAGGGUGAUGGGAAACUGGAAAACUUGAGUGCAGAAGAGGAAAGUGGAAUUCCAUGUGUAGCGGUGAAAUGCGCAGAGAUAUGGGGGAACACCAGGGGCGAAGGCGACUUUCUGGUCUGUAACUGACGCUGAUGUGCGAAGGCGUGGGGAUCAAACAGG
rnacentral:rRNA from 1 species